rnacentral:rRNA from 1 species
AUGUAUCCCAUUGCUUGGGCAGCAGUUGAGGUGGAAAAUAAGGACUCCUGGUUCUGGUUUAUGGCAUUGUUAAAUAAAGACUUGGAGAUUUCAAAUCAAGGUGAAGGCUGGGUGUUUAUAUCAGAUCAGCAGAAAGAUCCAAUCAAU